rnacentral:misc_RNA from 1 species
GCUUUAGAUCGAGUAGAAGAUGAACCCAUUUUCAGGUUCUUGAGCCACUGAUCACUCACCGGAAAGAAAAAUAAUUAGACCAGCUUCCAAAUGCCUGAAAAGUGAAAAUCAUCGUCUACACAGCUAUGAAGAAGCUUAAUCGCUCUCUGAUUCUCUUUCCGCUUCUUCUUCUUGUUCUGAGCUUAAUUCUAUUAUAUGCGGAAGCUGAAGUCAUAACCCUAACCCCUGAGACCUUCUCUGACAAAGUAAUGUCAUAAAAACUAUUACUUUAGAUUUACCUUUUUGAAUUUCAUUCAAUCAGAUUUUCCUGCUUUAAUUUAUGUUAAAUUUUUCUUAUCUGAAGUCUAUUUGUGAUUAGACCUGGUGUUCUUUGUGAUUCAUUUGUUUGGAGUUUGUGAAUGUUCAAAAAUAUUUGUUCUUUUUUAUUUGAUUCGAUUGUUAAUUGUGCAAAAUUCAUUGAGGAUAAAGUUUAGUCCUUUUGAUUUUUGAGGUAAUGUGCUUGGAUGAUGGGAUUCUGAUAGCAGAUGGCUGUUUACUCUUCUUUGUCGCCUAAUUACCAAUUUUAUUCCCUUUUUUUUUCUGGGUUUACUGCCUUUUCGUUAAUUCCACAUGGGUAUUCAAAGUUGGAGGUCUCUGGUUCAAUCUCACUGGAAUCUGUGAGUGGGAUUUAGUAGGAUGGAAGAGACUUCUCCCAUCAUGUACCCCUAAAGUCUGAUGAGACUCUUGAUAAAUAAAAUAAAAAAAUUGCAAAAUAAUAAUCAAUAAAGAAGUUACUGAUUAUGUGUUGGUGUUUAUUUUUUAGGUGAAGGAAAAGGAUACUGCAUGGUUUGUGAAAUUUUGUGUUCCUUGGUGUAAGCAUUGGUAAUGGAUCUUAGUUUAGUCAAUUACUUAAAUUUGUGAGUAAGCUAGCUAGACUUAAUUGUAGAAAAAACCAAAAGUUCAUUCUAUUUGUUUGCUUAUGAAUGAAACAAUGACCUCCAGUAAGAAUUUGGGAUCAUUGUGGGAAGACCUAGGGAAAGCAAUGGAAGGGGAAGAUGAAAUAGAGAUUGGAGAAGUUGAUUGCAGUGCAAGCAAACCUGUAUGUACGAAAGUUGAUAUUCAUUCGUAUCCUAUUCAUUCGUAUCCUACAUUUAAGCUCUUCUAUGAUGGAGAAGAAGUUGCUAAAUAUCAAGGGGCAAGGAAUGUUGAAUCGCUUAAAUCAUUCGUUCUGGAGGAAUCAGAAAAAGCAGCAGCAAAAGCACAGCUCGACAGUGAUCAAGAUUUGUGAUUGUCGUUGAGGAACAUCUAGAUGGAAUCAGAAGUGUUGGUGAAAGUCUCAAUGGAAUCAACAUGGUUCCACUGACUAAACAUCCCAGCUGAGAUCACCUUGUGGAUUAUAUGCAGAUUUUAUUGAAGGUCGUUUUCUCAUCCACCCUGUGAUCAGAGUUCGUUUAAUCUGUUUGAGAAGAGCGCUAAUUUUUUGUUGAAGGGCAUUUGAUCUAUUACUGAAUUGUAUUAUCAUACUAUAUAGGGAAUUUAUGCUGAAAGUUUGAUGGUACCUAGUUUCUAGAUUCAAUCAUGAGAGAAUUGAGGUUGCCUCCAUGUGAUGUCAGUCAUGAGUUACAAAAUUUUGAGCAUAGAAUAUAUUGAAGCUUAAUUAUCGCUUAUAGUAUAAAAGAACAUGAUAUUAAACGAUUGUGAUACGUAAGAGAAUUUUGUUUCUGUAGUCCUCUCAUGAUAAUUUUACUUUUGUUCUCAUACCUGAUGCCAAUAAGAAAUUCC